CACAACUCUGGGUUCAACAACAUUGCAAUCAACAACAGAAACUAGCACAGAUUCCACAACUCUGGGUUCAACAACAUUGCAAUCAACAACAGAAACUAGCACAGAAUAUUCAACAACUCUGGAUUCAACAACAUUACAAUCAACAACCGAAGCUAGCACAG